GGGACGAACGCUGGCGGCGUGCUUAACACAUGCAAGUCGAGCGGUAAGGCCUUUCGGGGUACACGAGCGGCGAACGGGUGAGUAACACGUGGGUGAUCUGCCCUGCACUUCGGGAUAAGCCUGGGAAACUGGGUCUAAUACCGGAUAUGACCUCCUAUCGCAUGGUGGGUGGUAGGAAAGAUUUUAGUCGGUAGCAGGAUCGGGCCCGCGGCCUAUCAGCUUGUUGGUGGGUAAUGGCCUACGAAGGCGACGACGGGUAGCCGACUGA
rnacentral:rRNA from 1 species